AACAAGGUAACCGUAGGGGAACCUGCGGUUGGAUCACCUCCUUACC
rnacentral:rRNA from 1 species